rnacentral:rRNA from 1 species
GUCUUCAGCCAUACCACCCUGAACGCGCCCGAUCUCGUCUGAUCUCAAAAGCUUAAGCAGCGUCGGGCCUGGUUAGUACUUGGAUGGGAGACAAGGUAGGCAGUGAUA